rnacentral:rRNA from 1 species
CCUACGGGUGGCAGCAGUGGGGAAUAUUGCACAAUGGGGGGAAACCCUGAUGCAGCGACGCCGCGUGAGUGAAGAAGUAUUUCGGUACGUAAAGCUCUAUCAGCAGGGAAGAAAAGGAGGGUACCUGACUAAGAAGCCCCGGCUAACUACGUGCCAGCAGCCGCGGUAAUACGUAGGGUGCAAGCGGUAUACGGAUUUACUGGGUGUAAAGGGAGCGUAGAGGGAAGCGCAAGUCUGGAGUGAAAGCCCAGGGCUUAACCAUGGAACGGAUUUUGAAACUGUGCAGCUUGAGUGCAGGAGAUGUAUGCGGAAUUCCUAGUGUAGCGGUGACAUGCGUAGAUAUUAGGCGGAACACCAGUUGCGAAGGCGGCUUACUUGACUGUAACUGACGUUGAGGCUCGAAAGCGUGGGGAGCAAACCGGAUUAGAUACCCUGGUAGUC